rnacentral:misc_RNA from 1 species
CUAAGGAAACAAUUAUCAUCUUCAGUUUUGAGAGACUUAAGAAAGUUUUUCAUUGUCACUUGCUUGCGAAUUGUAUUUGCAACAUUUUAAUCUUUUUAAGAUUAAGGGCCUAUAGCUCAGUUGGUUAGAGCACACGCCUGAUAAGCGUGAGGUCGGUGGUUCAAGUCCAUUUAGGCCCACCAUAACCACAAAUAGGCAAAAUCUUAAAAAAGCUCUUUGAAAAGUAGAUAAACGAAGGUUAAAAAAUC